UUUUUUGUUUGUUUUUUGCCAAAUAGCAAAUACAGUUUUAAAAAACAUUUACACUAAGCACAAUACUUAGUCUUGCCUAUUCAUUUUAUCCUUGUCCCGAGGAGCAGGUACAUCUUCUCAGAAUCCUUACAGCACCUGAAAAAUUUACAGCUGAAGAACUGCACUGAAGAAGAGUCAAUUGAAGAACAAAGCACUGGAAGACAGCACAGUGGACAACAGGCAAGCUAAGAGACAAAGCAGGAGGAAGCAGUGGUUGGCAUGGGUGGGUGUGGAGUAAGCAGGCUAUGAUAUGGAGCACAGCAGCAGACAGCUCCAGCAAGUUUAACUAAAACACCCUACUAGGCUGGCACAUGUUUCUCCCAUUUUGGAUAUACCAUUCUAGAUCCCUAAGAUCACUCUCAUGUUUCACAGCAGGCGUACAACACAGAAGAGUACCGCAAGGAUCAUCUAGUCAUCUAGUAUCGAGACCAGAACAUGAAUGGAUGGGUUCAAAUUACUGUACAAGAAAAGAGAUUACACCUAAGGAAGAACUUCUUUACUGGAAGAACUGUUUGACAGUGGAAUAGAUUGUCUUGGAAAGGAGCCGUGGCAUUCUGCUCAGAAGGCUUAAUAAUAUUAUCCUGGAUGAAUUUUUCAACCCUUGCCAACAUCUCAGGGGAAACUUUCUUCUGCUGCUCAAGGAUCUUGAGGAUUUGAGACAAGG